CGUAGGGUGCGAGCGUUAAUCGGAAUUACUGGGCGUAAAGCGUGCGCAGGCGGUUAUAUAAGACAGAUGUGAAAUCCCCGGGCUCAACCUGGGACCUGCAUUUGUGACUGUAUAGCUAGAGUACGGUAGAGGGGGAUGGAAUUCCGCGUGUAGCAGUGAAAUGCGUAGAUAUGCGGAGGAACACCGAUGGCGAAGGCAAUCCCCUGGACCUGUACUGACGCUCAUGCACGAAAGCGUGGGGAGCAAACAGGAUUAGAUACCCUGGUAGUCCACGCCCUAAACGAUGUCAACUGGUUGUUGGGUCUUCACUGACUCAGCAACGAAGCUAACGCGUGAAGUUGACCGCCUGGGGAUACGGCCGCAAGGUUG
rnacentral:rRNA from 1 species